rnacentral:tRNA from 1 species
ACUUGAAUAGCUUAUUUUAGAGCGCGACGCUGAAGAUGUCGAUGAGGCUUAUUUAGCCUUUAAGUA